rnacentral:snRNA from 1 species
AGCUUUGUGCAGUGGCAAUAUCGUAGCUAAUGAGGUAUACCCGAGGUGCAAUUAUUGCUAAUUGAAAACUUUUCCCAAUACCCCGCUGUGACGACUUGAAUAUAGUCCGCAUUGGCAAUUUUUGACAGUCUCACGGAGA